CUUGUAGCGUGUAGUGAAUUGCAGGAGUUAAGAAUUAUUUUUGAGGCUGGCUACCAUACCUCCUACAGAGACUACAGGGACUUAAAAAUUUUAAGGAUGCUCAUGAUCACUAGCUAACAUUUUUAAUCAAUGCAUUGAUGAAUUAAUUAUCUUCUGUUCUUGCUCAAGAGACAUACUCUUUUGGUCUUCAUGAUUGUGUUCUUAUGCAAAUAGGCGAUGAGCUCACUCCUGGAACCACAUCAUGAGAGGUAUUUUUCUUCAACCACUGCUGAGAUAAAGUUCUACACAUAAGAACCACUCCUGGAAAAGACACAUCUCUGGGCUGACCAAAGAUCAUAAUCCAUCUCUGUGCAACAUGGAAGACAAGACACCUCUAAGAAAAAACAUGUCUAGGAAUCAGUUGGGAAGAUCUACUCAUCGGUGGAAGGGCCUGAGCUGGUACACAUUGUCUCUUUUCCUCCAGCAGACUGGCUGGGCUUUGUUCCUGUGGCGGAGGCAGUCAUAAAGGUGGGGGAAAGAGAGAGAGAGAUUGAGAAGAGAAUCAAGCAGCGUCUUCCGAGGCCUAAUCUGAGAUACCAAACAGGAACUUUUAUGACAGUCUAUUGGCCAAGCAAGUCAAGGCUAGCCCACAUUCAAAGGUUUAGAAAAUAGACUCAACUUCUCAAUGGGAGGUGCUGUAAUCAUAUGACAGGGAACAUGAAUCAAUGGAGGGGUGAAGAAUUAGAGCCAUUCUUUUGCAAUGAAUUUCACACAAGGAAUAUGUACUACAUGACCAAGGUGGCCUUAAAAUUCCCCUCAGGUUUGCUAAACUUUAGACAGGCUUUUUUCCCUGCUUUUAGGCCCCUGACUGCAUUUUCCUUAGAGCAUUUACUCUUUCUCUGAUGCUUUGAAAUGUGUGUAAAUCUUCUCCCAGCCUUUUGACAGUUUUGCAAUCCAGGAAUAUCUUUCACAAGAACCAGGGAGUCAUCCAUUUGAAAUGCAAUCAUGAAGGAAGGUAGCACCCCUCUCUCCUAGACUCUGUAGGAGGGCAGAAGCCUUACCUUGAACUCCACUUAGCAAACACAGAAGGCCUCAUCCCAGAGAAAAGUGUUUGCAAUCUCAGGAAUAGCUGAGUAUAUGUGACACAUUCCACUGCUCAUAUUCCCUUCCCUAUGCCCUACAGUACUUUUAUACUCCCCAUAGCACUUAAAAUACUUCCAGCCUUUUGUUUCAGCAGAGUUGAAUUCACCCUCCUAUUUCACUAGUUUUGAUUAAAGUCUUUCUUACCUCUUUAACUUUGUCUAGUGUAAUCUUUUUGACAUGCUCAGAGAAAAGUUUGAAUUCUGCUUCUGAACACUUUGCCUAAUCAGGCCCACCUGCAUCACCAUGAUACAACUAAAUUGAGUUUUUGCAGAAGGA
rnacentral:lncRNA from 1 species